CAAUAACGAAUGAAUCAAUAUGAGAUGUUGUGGAGAUGGUAAAAUUCUAAUACUAUGUUUAAUACAUCUCCUAGGCGAUAUAAGGUGGUUUGUUAAAAGAUGCUCAAAGAGCCACUCUUAUCUCGAAUUAUGUGCAUAACUCAAGUUGAGAAUAUUUUUUUAAUUUUAUGAUUAUGAGAUUUAUUUAUUCAAUUUCUUAACAAAUAUGAUGAUAAAAUGAUACAAUUUAUCCCUAGAUCUUGCAUGAUGUGUGGAAUUUUAUUUGAUACUUAUCAAGAAUUUUAUUUGAUUUUCGGAUCAACAAUAUUUGCCAAAUUGAAUAUCUUUGAGAUUGUUUUUCAAAAUUUAUUUAUGAAAUUUUAUUGGAAGUCUUUGGGGAUGGAUAUUGUGUAUUUUUGAUGUUGGAUAUGUUGAGGAUAUUAUAUAAAAUUUCUGAAAAUUCUGGACGAGAUUUUGAGUUUUAGGUUUUGGCUCUGGGACCGGUCCCAGACUUGGAGAGACCGGUCCCUCCGCCCGAACCGAUAUAAGGGUUUUGCGGUCUGUUUCUUUUUACUUUACCAAUUUCGUUCAAACUUCUCUCCAGAGCUUCUAAUAUCCCUAGGGUGCUUUUGCUUCCAUUCUUCAUCAAUUUACACUUGAUUUUGGUAUGAUUCUCGGAUUUUAUUUCGUUGUUGUCUUAUAAUCCGAAUUUAUGCUUUAUUUUCAGUUUUUGGGGAUUUGAUCUCAUUAUGUUGUUAAAUCUCUUCAUUUUUGCCCUGAUCUUACCUCUAGACAUGUUAGUCAGCAUUUUCAUGCAUUAUUCCAUACUUUGAUACAAUUGUUUGGUUGUUUUUGCUAUGUUUUCUUCAUCAAAACCUAAUUUUUCCAAUUUUUCGAAAAAUGUGAUUUUAUUGAUUUUUGAUGCUUGAUUUGUCCAUGAUUUUCUUGGUUAUGUGGCCCUAGGAUUAUCUAGCAUAUUACAUAUCAAUUUGCUAAAGUUUUUGGAAUCACAAAUCGAUUGUUCUUAUGUUCAAUAUGUAUAUAUCAUUGUGUUUGACAGGGGUUUCUUCGAAAAUGUACUCGUGGCUACUUGUUCUUGUGGUUCUUAUGGCUGGCGGUGGUCGUGGAAGUAAGCGACAGCGCUCAAAAGCUAAAAGGCCAAUUGAGUAUCAACCGGAGGAUGAAGAGAGCGAAUAUGCUCCUGGUGACGAUUCUGAGGAGGACGAGCCGGAUUGGGAGACUUUUGUUCCUGAGGUAUUAGCUAAGGAUAAGGAUACUGCGAAAGGCAAAGGAAAAGGAAAAGCCGUGGAUAAAGGCAAAGGAAAGGCGAUUGAGCGUCCCGGUCGUCGUAAGUUCGGGGGUGUUGAAAUUCGAGAACCGGG
rnacentral:lncRNA from 1 species